AACGAACGCUGGCGGCAUGCCUAACACAUGCAAGUCGAACGAGAUCUUCGGGUCUAGUGGCGCACGGGUGCGUAACGCGUGGGAAUCUGCCCUUUGGUUCGGAAUAACAGUUGGAAACGACUGCUAAUACCGGAUGAUGACGAAAGUCCAAAGAUUUAUCGCCAGAGGAUGAGCCCGCGCAGGAUUAGCUAGUUGGUGUGGUAAAGGCGCACCAAGGCGACGAUCCUUAGCUGGUCUGAGAGGAUGAUCAGCCACACUGGGACUGAGACACGGCCCAGACUCCUACGGGAGGCAGCAGUGGGGAAUAUUGGACAAUGGGCGAAAGCCUGAUCCAGCAAUGCCGCGUGAGUGAUGAAGGCCUUAGGGUUGUAAAGCUCUUUUACCCAGGAUGAUAAUGACAGUACCGGGAGAAUAAGCUCCGGCUAACUCCGUGCCAGCCGCCGCGGUAA
rnacentral:rRNA from 1 species